GACGAACGCUGGCGGCGUGCCUAAUACAUGCAAGUUGAGCGCUGAAGGUUGGUACUUGUACCAACUGGAUGAGCAGCGAACGGGUGAGUAACGCGUGGGGAAUCUGCCUUUGAGCGGGGGACAACAUUUGGAAACGAAUGCUAAUACCGCAUAAAAACUUUAAACACAAGUUUUAAGUUUGAAAGAUGCAAUUGCAUCACUCAAAGAUGAUCCCGCGUUGUAUUAGCUAGUUGGUGAGGUAAAGGCUCACCAAGGCGAUGAUACAUAGCCGACCUGAGAGGGUGAUCGGCCACAUUGGGACUGAGACACGGCCCAAACUCCUACGGGAGGCAGCAGUAGGGAAUCUUCGGCAAUGGACGAAAGUCUGACCGAGCAACGCCGCGUGAGUGGAGAAGGUUUUCGGAUCGUAAAACUCCGUUGGUAGAGAAGAACGUUGGUGAGAGUGGAAAGCUCAUCAAGUGACGGUAACUACCCAGAAAGGGACGGCUAACUACGUG
rnacentral:rRNA from 1 species